UACGGAGGGGGCUAGCGUUGUUCGGAAUUACUGGGCGUAAAGCGCACGUAGGCGGCUAUUCAAGUCAGAGGUGAAAGCCUGGAGCUUAACUCCAGAACUGCCUUUGAAACUAGAUAGCUAGAAUCAUGGAGAGGUGAGUGGAAUUCCGAGUGUAGAGGUGAAAUUCGUAGAUAUUCGGAAGAACACCAGUGGCGAAGGCGGCUCACUGGACAUGUAUUGACGCUGAGGUGCGAAAGCGUGGGGAGCAAACAGGAUUAGAAACCCCGGUAGU
rnacentral:rRNA from 1 species